UUGACGAAAACAUGAUCUUAUUCUAACUUUAUCAAGUGGUGAAUCCCCCUCAGCGGCGGGGCGAACCAGUCAAAAUGCAAUAUGCUCGCGUAUCUCAGGACUGGUAAAGAUACAUCGGGAGGCACCCGGCACCACAUCUUAACGUAUCUUUAUAAAAGAACAUUUUUCCUUAAGCAGUUGUUCGAUUUU
rnacentral:sRNA from 1 species